AAAGCUCAUCAUGGAGCAU
rnacentral:snRNA from 1 species